UAUGGCAAAUUAUCAAAGGUGUGUAAGAGGCAAACUGCACCAGUUCCCUUAAUUUCCCACCGAUUUUCAUGAAAAUUGCAUUGAUGCAAAGGGUUUUUAAUUUAGAACCAAAAAUGUAUCUAUAAAAAAAAUAAAAAAUUGGAAAUUUCCAGAGUUACAGGAAUAUUUUCAAAAAUAUGGCAAAUUAUCAAAGGUGUGUAAGAGGCAAACUGCACCAGUUCCCUUAAUUUCCCACCGAUUUUCAUGAAAAUUGCAUUGAUGCAAAGGGUUUUUAAUUUAGAACCAAAAAUGUAUCUAUAAAAAAAAUAAAAAAUUGGAAAUUUCCAGAGUUACAGGAAUAUUUUCAAAAAUAUGGCAAAUUAUCAAAGGUGUGUAAGAGGCAAACUGCACCAGUUCCCUUAAUUUCCCACCGAUUUUCAUGAAAAUUGCAUUGAUGCAAAGGGUUUUUAAUUUAGAACCAAAAAUGUAUCUAUAAAAAAAAUAAAAAAUUGGAAAUUUCCAGAGUUACAGGAAUAUUUUCAAAAAUAUGACAAAUUAUCAAAGGUGUGUAAGAGGCAAACUGCACCAGUUCCCUUAAUUUCCCACCGAUUUUCAUGAAAAUUGCAUGGAUGCAAAGGGUUUUUAAUUUAGAACCAUAAAUGUAUCUAUAAAAAAAAUAAAAAAUUGGAAAUUUCCAGAGUUACAGGAAUAUUUUCAAAAAUAUGGCAAAUUAUUGAAGGUGUGUCAGAGGCAAACUGCACCAG